rnacentral:lncRNA from 1 species
GGUAGGUACAGGGCUGCCGAGGGAGGACCGCGUCAAGGGCAUCGCGCCCGAUCAGUGAGACCGUGGUAGUAUAGUAGCUUUCCCUUUUGCAUUAGUUCACCUAUGUAUUGAGAGAGAUUCUUUGUAGGUGAGGAUUUGGAGAGCUAUGUAUUUUGGAAAUGGAAAAUGUAUUCAUUAAAGAAAAUGAUGUAAAUGUGAAUGAUGGAACUAUUGUAAUAGUUAGUAAAGUACCUCUCUUUAUCU